UACGAAGGUGGCAAGCGUUGUUCGGAUUUACUGGGCGUACAGGGAGCGUAGGCGGUUGGAUAAGCCCUCCGUGAAAUCUCCAGGCUUAAACCUGGAAAGUGCAGAGGGGACUGUUCAGCGUAGAGGAUGGGAGAGGAGCGGCGGAAUUCCCGGUGUAGCGGUGAAAUGCGUAGAGAUCGGGAGGAAGGCCGGUGGCGAAGGCGGCGCUCUGGGAACAUUUCUGGACGCUGAGGCUCGAAAGCGUGGGGGAGCGAACAGG
rnacentral:rRNA from 1 species